rnacentral:lncRNA from 1 species
GAGGCAGGCGCCACCCCGCAGGCGACUUCCAGUUUCUACGCUCUGGGCGCCGGGGGGAAGACGGCACACUCACUCGGUCCGGAGUCACGUGCAGAGUGCGGCUAGCACUCGAAUCGGCAAGCAAGGAGAUAGUGACCCAUGUAUCCAGGAUCUUCUCAAUAGACUAAAGUGGAGAGUAUUCUUUGUCAUAAGUCCUUCAGACUGCUCCUGGAUCCUGGAUCAUACUGCUGAGAGUAGCCAAGUCUUAUCACAGGUGAUCAUUGUAUAGUGUUGCUGUUGCUGUGUACAUUAUUGUUCUGGUUCUUAUUUUGCUCUGGAUCAGUUCAUGCAGAUUUUUAUAGCUUUUUCUGUUAUCUCCCUGCUUAUCAUUGCUUACAACACAAUAGUAUGCCAUCACAUACCACAAUUUGUUUAGCCAAUUUCCAAACUGAAGGACAUCCCCAAUUCUUUGCCACCACAAAAAGCUGCUAUAAAUAGUCAAGUCCUUUCCCCUUUUUAUGAUUUCUUUUAAGAUACAGACCCAGUAAUGGUAUUACAGGAUCAAAGGGUAUGCAUUGAUUUAUAACCCCUUGGACAUAGUUCUAAAUUGCACUC